GGGACAUGAUGAAGAACUAUUGGUCCGUGUUUCUGAUCAUCACGUGACGAAUCAAACUAACCAUUUCUGAUCCC